rnacentral:rRNA from 1 species
UACGUAGGGUGCAAGCGUUAAUCGGAAUUACUGGGCGUAAAGCGUGCGCAGGCGGUUCUAUAAGACAGAUGUGAAAUCCCCGGGCUCAACCUGGGAACUGCAUUUGUGACUGUAGAGCUGGAGUACGGCAGAGGGGGAUGGAAUUCCGCGUGUAGCAGUGAAAUGCGUAGAGAUGUGGAGGAAUACCGAUGGCGAAGGCAGCCUCCUGGGCCAACACUGACGCUCAUGCACGAAAGCGUGGGGAGCAAACAGG